rnacentral:rRNA from 1 species
AGAGUUCGAUCCUGGCUCAGGAUGAACGCUGGCGGCGUGCCUAACACAUGCAAGUCGAACGAGAUGCGUAUCGGAAAGCUUCGGCCGGAAGAUGCGUUAUCUAGUGGCGGACGGGUGAGUAACACGUGGGUAACCUGCCUUAUGGAGGGGGAUAACAGAGAGAAAUCACUGCUAAUACCGCAUAAGCACACAUUGCCGCAUGGCAGAGUGUGAAAAGAUUUAUCGCCAUAAGAUGGACCCGCGUCUGAUUAGCCAGUUGGCAGGGUAAAAGCCUACCAAAGCAACGAUCAGUAGCCGAUCUGAGAGGAUGACCGGCCACAUUGGGACUGAGACACGGCCCAAACUCCUACGGGAGGCAGCAGUGGGGAAUAUUGCACAAUGGGGGAAACCCUGAUGCAGCGACGCCGCGUGAGUGAAGAAGUAUUUCGGUAUGUAAAGCUCUAUCAGCAGGGAAGAUAAUGACAGUACCUGACUAAGAAGCCCCGGCUAACUACGUGCCAGCAGCCGCGGUAAUACGUAGGGGGCAAGCGUUAUCCGGAUUUACUGGGUGUAAAGGGAGCGUAGACGGAAUGGCAAGUCUGAAGUGAAAACCCCGGGCUCAACCUGGGGACUGCUUUGGAAACUGUUGUUCUAGAGUGUUGGAGAGGUAAGUGGAAUUCCUGGUGUAGCGGUGAAAUGCGUAGAUAUCAGGAAGAACACCGGAGGCGAAGGCGGCUUACUGGACAAUAACUGACGUUGAGGCUCGAAAGCGUGGGGAUCAAACAGGAUUAGAUACCCUGGUAGUCCACGCUGUAAACGAUGAAUACUAGGUGUCGGGGUGCAAAGCAUCUCGGUGCCGUCGCUAACGCAAUAAGUAUUCCACCUGGGGAGUACGUUCGCAAGAAUGAAACUCAAAGGAAUUGACGGGGACCCGCACAAGCGGUGGAGCAUGUGGUUUAA